ensembl:lncRNA SNHG27 small nucleolar RNA host gene 27
CCCUGCAUUUAUUGAAAUGAUCAUGUGUUUUCCUAUUUUAGAAUAUUAAUAUGGUGAACUAUAUUAUUAGAUUUUUUUAAAUAUUGAAACUGUCUUGCAUUUCUGGAAUAAACACGGCUUGGUCAUGUGUGUCACUUUUUUACAUAGUGUCGUAUUCAAGUUAUUGAGGAUUUUGCAUCUAGGGUAUACUUGUAGAUUUGCAGAUUUGCAUCUAGGUUAUGUUGGUCUAAAGUUUUGUUUGUUUUUUUUCCUUUUCUUUUUUUAUCAUCUUUGUCUUAUUCUGUUUAAGUGUCAUGCUUGCUUCAUAAAAUGAAUUGAGAAACAUUUCUUCCUCUUCUGUUUCUCGAAAAUUGUAGAGAACUCUUGUUUUUUGUUGUUGUUUGUUUGUUGUUUUGUUUUUUUCUUAUUUUUAUCCUCAUACUGAGAACCAAAUAGUCUGGAGUGUAAAAUAUGGUUCCUCAUUCCAGUUAAGUCUAGUACACAAUGACAACAACCAUCUUGGGUUAAGCAUUGGCCUACAAACAGAAAAAAACCUUCAGGGAGAUAGAUGCUGAUCUAGGCAUUGUGAGAAAAGCUGAAUUCAUUUUUAAUCAUGAAUGGCUUUUAAGGAAAGAAGAUUUAUUAACUAAAAUAAAUAGAUUAGAGGGAAUUCUCAUCUAUGAGAGAGGAAGGGAUGGGAUUCAACCUGGAAAAAAUGAUGAAGUUUUAGUGAACUGGGUAAGGUAGACUCAACAAUUAAUGAUGGAUAAUGCUAGGACCCAGCACCGGUAAUGAGCUUGUAUUAUGACUCAAUAGCAUCACUUUAUCACUUUAACGCAGAUGGAGGCCUAAAUAACCAUAGGGCAAUGGUUCUUCUUAGAUGCAGAAGGACACAUUUAUAUAAUCUUAGGGACCCCAUCUCUGAGGUCACUCAUAAUUUAUAUUAAUUCAUUAUUAUUGCCAUUGCCCCAAGAAUAGAUAAGGAUAAGACAUCCUGUAGCACAGGUAGCAGAGAUAUAAACUAUUCUUAUUCUUGUGUCUUGUCUAUAGGAAGGGAGUGUAUCCUGGUGUAUGACAGCAUAUAGUAGAGACCAGUGUCAAUUAGGGCCUGUGAACUGAGACAGGGUGACUGGCUAAGUCCACAACCCAUUAGAAACCCAGAAAUAAUCAAAUCAUGGAGAGAUUAGUCCAGGGACAAUAAAUAUGGAUUAGGGAAGAAUGUGUUAACUCAGCAGGCCAGGGUUUCUUCAACCCUGCACAUUCAAAGAGGGAUCAUGGAAAGGAAGCUGAAUUUGCUGAGUUUUGCCACGUGGGCAUUGCAUGCCUAUGUGAUUAACCACCAAUAAAAACCUGGGACAUCAAAAAAUAAAUAAGCUGCUUUAAUUGCCAAGAAUUCACAUGUGGUUGUAUGCAGCAUUACUGGGAGAUUGAAGUGUAUCUGCAUGUGAUUCUACUGUGAUGGACACUUGUAAAUUUGUGCCUGGAGUCUCCUGGAAUUUGCCCUGAGAAUCUUUUUCCUUUGUUGAUAAGAAUCUGCAUCCUUUUGUUUUAAUAAACGAUAAACAUGAGUAUAAUUGCUUCUCUGAGUUCUGAGAGUUUUUUAAAUAAAUAAUCAAAGCUGAAAAGCAAUGGAGACCCCCACCAAAACAUCUUUACACAUUUCAAUUUUGUAUUGAAGUAAAUUUUAUUUUCUUUUUUAUACCUCCCGUAU